rnacentral:rRNA from 1 species
CCUACGGGUGACAGCAGUGAGGAAUAUUGGUCAAUGGACGAGAGUCUGAACCAGCCAAGUAGCGUGAAGGAUGACUGCCCUAUGGGUUGUAAACUUCUUUUAUAUGGGAAUAAAAUGUUCCACGUGUGGGAUUUUGUAUGUACCAUAUGAAUAAGGAUCGGCUAACUCCGUGCCAGCAGCCGCGGUAAUACGGAGGAUCCGCGCGUUAUCCGGAUUUAUUGGGUUUAAAGGGAGCGUAGGUGGGUUGUUAAGUCAGUUGUGAAAGUUUGCGGCUCAACCGUAAAAUUGCAGUUGAAACUGGCAGUCUUGAGUACAGUAGAGGUGGGCGGAAUUCGUGGUGUAGCGGUGAAAUGCUUAGAUAUCACGAAGAACUCCGAUUGCGAAGGCAGUUCACUGGACUGCAACUGACACUGAGGCUCGAAAGUGUGGGUAUCAAACAGGAUUAGAUACCCUUGUAGUC